rnacentral:tRNA from 1 species
AGUCUUAUAGUUUAGUAAGAAUAUUAAAUUGCAAAUUUAAAGGAGGGUAAGCCCUAAGGCUU